CAAGUGACGGUACUGCAGAAGAAGCGCGGGCUAACUACGUGCCAGCAGCCGCGGUAAUACGUAGGGCGCAGCGUUGUCCGGGAAUUAUUGGGCGUAAAGAGCUCGUAGGCGGUUUGUCGCGUCCGCUGUGAAAGCCCGGGGCUCAACCCCGGGUCGGCAGUGGGUACGGGCAGACUAGAGUGCAGUAGGGGAGACUGGAAUUCCUGGUGUAGCGGUGAAAUGCGCAGAUAUCAGGAGGAACACCGAUGGCGAAGGCAGGUCUCUGGGCUGUUACUGACGCUGAGGAGCGAAAGCAUGGGGAGCGAACAGGAUUAGAUACCCUGGUAGUCCAUGCCGUAAACGUUGGGCACUAGGUGUGGGGGACAUUCCACGUCCUCCGCGCCGUAGCUAACGCAUUAAGUGCCCCGCCUGGGGAGUACGGCCGCAAGGCUAAAACUCAAAGGAAUUGACGGGGGCCCGCACAAGCGGCGGAGCAUGCGGAUUAAUUCGAUGCAACGCGAAGAACCUUACCAAGGCUUGACAUCCACCGGACCGCCCCAGAGAUGGGGUUUCCCUUCGGGGCUGGUGGACAGGUGGUGCAUGGUUGUCGUCAGCUCGUGUCGUGAGAUGUUGGGUUAAGUCCCGCAACGAGCGCAACCCUCGUUCUAUGUUGCCAGCACGUGAUGGUGGGGACUCAUAGGAGACUGCCGGGGUCAACUCGGAGGAAGGUGGGGAUGACGUCAAAUCAUCAUGCCCCUUAUGUCUUGGGCUUCACGCAUGCUACAAUGGCCGGUACAAAGGGUUGCGAUACUGUGAGGUGGAGCUAAUCCCAAAAAGCCGGUCUCAGUUCGGAUUGAGGUCUGCAACUCGACCUCAUGAAGUCGGAGUCGCUAGUAAUCGCAGAUCAGCAACGCUGCGGUGAAUACGUUCCCGGGCCUUGUACACACCGCCCGUCAAGUCACGAAAGUUGGUAACACCCGAAGCACGGUGGCCUA
rnacentral:rRNA from 1 species